GACAGAGGGGGCAAGCGUUGCUCGGAAUUACUGGGCGUAAAGGGCGCGUAGGCGGGAUGGCAAGUCGGUCGGUGAAAUCCCUCGGCUUAACUGGGGAACUGCGUCCGAUACUGGAUGGCUUGGAUUGGGAGAGGGAUGCGGAAUUCCAGGUGUAGCGGUGAAAUGCGUAGAUAUCUGGAGGAACACCGGUGGCGAAGGCGGCAUCCUGGACCAAUACUGACACUGAGGACGCGAAAGCCAGGGGAGACAACGGG
rnacentral:rRNA from 1 species